rfam:Mus musculus chromosome 6, GRC primary reference assembly.
CCCAGGUAUGGCGACAUGGUACCAAAAACCAUAGCAGGGAAGAUUUUUGGGUCCAUCUGCUCACUGAGCGGAGUCUUGGUCAUUGCGCUACCCGUGCCUGUGAUCGUGUCGAAC